rnacentral:lncRNA from 1 species
GUGGUUUCUAUUAUCUUGUAAAGCAGCAUAUUAUUUUAUUAGUACAUGGCAGGGUGUAUACCAAAUGAUCACUACGGUGAUACAAGAUCACACAUGGGUAAUCCAAAGAUGGAGAAAGCAAAAUGAAGGGGAAAAUGAUCCCCUUGGCUCUCCACAAGGUUCAGGUCCACAUCAACUUGAGCCAUAUCCUCGUGACUAUCAGCGGCAUUUGAGGGACCCUGCAACGCAAAACAAUAACACAGCCGCCAGUUAGUUGAAUCAUACAAAAAGUCCAAAAAAUGUGUCGGUAGCGGAGAUUUGUGCAACCAGAUUUCCUGCAGAAAAAGAAAAGCACAGCAUGCAUGCAUGCAAGGCAUGGUCCAAAAUCCCAAAAGCGUAGAGGAGCGCAUGCAGUCUUGCUCAAAAAACUAGUUGGAUAUUAACUACCCAAUCAAUUAAGGCUAGACUAAGUUUUCCCUUCGUCCCAAAAUUUUCGUCUUAGAUUUUUCUAAAUAUGGAUGCAUCUAGAUACAUCCAUAUCUAAACAAAUCCAAGACAAAAAAUUUGGGACAGAGGGAGUAGUACAUAUCAUCUUGUAAUGUUGAAAAUGAGAAUAAAGACGGUUAGUACAACAAUUAAAAUUUAAUUGUUGUGCUAAUCCAUAUAAUAAAUGAGAAUGUAAGCCUAAUUAAGAAGAGUACAUGUUACUGCACCUACAAGAUCACUGCAUAUUCAAAUGUGGUUAAUAGUACUAUUUCUAGUUGUUUUCAUAAAAAGGAAUAACUUAAUAUAGUCAAGUUACUUGAAAAGGGAAAUUAAGCCACAACUACCAUCGGAUUCCACAAAAAAAUUAGACAUUAGAUUCACAAAUAUAUGGUCAUGCAUCAUCAUUCAUCAUGCUGAAGCUAAACAAUAAAUACCCUAGCAGCUGCAAGCUUGCACACCCAACAAUCAAGGUUCAAAAACACGUGUGUGGAGAAGUGCUUGC